rnacentral:rRNA from 1 species
AGAGUUUGAUCCUGGCUCAGAUUGAACGCUGGCGGCAUGCUUUACACAUGCAAGUCGAACGGCAGCAUGACCUAGCUUGCUAGGUUGAUGGCGAGUGGCGAACGGGUGAGUAAUACAUCGGAACGUACCCAAUAGUGGGGGAUAACGCAGCGAAAGCUGUGCUAAUACCGCAUACGUCCUACGGGAGAAAGCGGGGGAUCUUCGGACCUCGCGCUAAUGGAGCGGCCGAUGUCAGAUUAGCUAGUUGGUGGGGUAAAGGCCCACCAAGGCGACGAUCUGUAGCUGGUCUGAGAGGAUGAUCAGCCACACUGGGACUGAGACACGGCCCAGACUCCUACGGGAGGCAGCAGAGGGGAAUUUUGGACAAUGGGCGCAAGCCUGAUCCAGCCAUGCCGCGUGAGUGAAGAAGGCCUUCGGGUUGUAAAGCUCUUUCGCAAGGGAAGAAAACUUAGCCACUAA